rnacentral:tRNA from 1 species
GCCCAGAUGGCAGAGUGGUUAAUGUACACGACUGGAAAUCGUGACCCUUCGGGGUGCGCAGGUUCAAAUCCUGCUCUGGGCG